AUCAAUAAUGUAUGUGUAUAUGCAAGUAUGUAUGUAUCUGUGCAUGCACGUACCUCUCUGUCUCUCUAUCUAUCUAUCUGUCUCCGUCCCACAGGUGUCCAAGCCGCUGGCCGCCGAAAGUGACGCCGCGGUAGAUAAACAAGUGAUCCCAGGUGUGCUGACGUGCCGCUCCGAGUGUCAGGUGUUGGCGGAGGAGUGAUGGCUCAGAUAGAUGGACGAUGGGCGAGUGGGUGGCGAUGGUAGCGGAGGUGGUGUCGGCGGUGGUGGAGGACGGGGCAACGGCCGCGCGGACGCUCACACGGCAGGAAAGUGGGUCAUUCUGACGCUGCUGCCACGACCAAACUCGCCCCCUGCACCUCCGCAGCCGCCGCCGCCGCCGCCCCUCACAGCGUCCGGAGAGGGCGGCGCCGCGAUCACUCACCACCGAUGCUUCGUGACACGCCAAAUGAAGAUGAACGAAGGAGCUCACGAACCCGCUUCCCUCCAGCCCAUUAGUACCAGCGUCAAUACCUCGCCGAAGAACCGUUUACACUGCUGCAUUAGAGGCACGGAAGUGGCAAACAAUGGAACAGUUAUUAAACGAAGCUCUUAUUGUCGUUUUAUGUAACCACAGACCACAAGUAUUUUUCUUCUUGACUUCGCAGGACGAUUCGAGCAUUGCAUUGCAUCGCUGACACUCCUUGGACGCCGGUGAUGGACGGAAGUGUGUGUUUUAGCCAGCCAUUACGUGUGCAUGAGAGAGAGAGAGAGAGAGAGAGAGAGAGAGAGAGAGAGAGAGAGAGAGAGAGAGAGAUGCUUGCCCAAGUAACGGGAGGAUGAGGGAGAGGCAGGGCCGUGUACUGGUCGGUGUUGCACUAUAAGGGCAUCCACCAUCCAAAGUAUCACACCACCGACCUGCUCCUCUCUCCUCUCUCCUUUCACCUCCCCACUCCUUGCACUCACAACUCCCGCACCUGUUCGCACCUUCGUAUCGGCACUACAUAUCAAUUUGAGAGAUGUGACGAUCACUCUCCCUGUAUAUUUGUGGUGCAUGUAACGUGGAUGAUUGCCCGUCAAGCCACCACCGAGACGCAAAAUGCACAUUUUGCGUAUUCUUUACUGGCUUCAGAUGAUGAGGAAAAGUGGGGGAGGCAGAGAGCGAGAAACUGUUCUGCGACUUCUAUUACCGUAGGAAAAAAAAUGAAAGAUAUUAGUAAAGAAGCUCACAGCGGGAUUUCUGUAUUUAUGUGGAUUUGACUUGUAA